GAUUAAAUGGCUGAAUUUAAAGGCGAUAGAUUGUAAAUCUAUUUAUGAGAUUAUUCUCUUUAAUCA
rnacentral:tRNA from 1 species